CAUAGUAUUGUAUAAUUUUAUUUUUAUAAAAAAUAUUUAUUAAAAUAAUAGAUAUAAGAAUGAAAUAUGGUGACAUACAUAAAAUUGUGGGGCUUAGUUUGGUGUUCCACUUCAUCUCAAUAUGCUUAAACAUGCAAUAGGAGAUUAAUUAUUUUGAGUUUGUUUACUUAUUUUUUACAGCGAAUCAUCAAUUCAGCUUUUUUUCCAUUAAUUCUUCUUUGUGUUGAUACAGUUGAUUCUGAAGAGACUGAAAGAGAAAAAAGUGAAAGGGAACAAAGUGAAACAGAAGAAAUUGAUUCUGAAGAAGCUGAAAGAGAAAAAAAGUGAAACAGAAGAAAGUGAAAGAAGCAAACAGUUGUGUUUGAGGUGCCUCAAAAGAAUUAGGAGGUGAAGCAAGCGAUCUAGUGAAGAAGGAAUAAGUAAAUGAGUAUGAUUCUAAAGCCAUGGCAAAGAUAGGGGAGCAUUUGAAGAGCAUGGAGGCGAGGCGGCCUCAACUAGAAGCGCUAACAAGCUUGCUCGUGGGGAAGAACGACGACAGUGUAGUUGUUGACUGUGAAGAGAAGGAUGAUGACAAAAAUUCAGACAACAAUGUUGAAAAUGAAUAUAGUGAAACAGAGGAUUCAUCAGU